rnacentral:rRNA from 1 species
GAUGAACGCUGGCGGUAGGCCUAACACAUGCAAGUCGAACGGCAGCACAGGAGAGCUUGCUCUCUGGGUGGCGAGUGGCGGACGGGUGAGGAAUACAUCGGAAUCUACUCUGUCGUGGGGGAUAACGUAGGGAAACUUACGCUAAUACCGCAUACGACCUACGGGUGAAAGCAGGGGACCUUCGGGCCUUGCGCGAUUGAAUGAGCCGAUGUCGGAUUAGCUAGUUGGCGGGGUAAAGGCCCACCAAGGCGACGAUCCGUAGCUGGUCUGAGAGGAUGAUCAGCCACACUGGAACUGAGACACGGUCCAGACUCCUACGGGAGGCAGCAGUGGGGAAUAUUGGACAAUGGGCGCAAGCCUGAUCCAGCCAUACCGCGUGGGUGAAGAAGGCCUUCGGGUUGUAAAGCCCUUUUGUUGGGAAAGAAAUCCAGCUGGCUAAUACCCGGUUGGGAUGACGGUACCCAAAGAAUAAGCACCGGCUAACUUCGAGCCAGCCGCCGCCGUAA